rnacentral:rRNA from 1 species
AGCUCCAAUAGCGUAUAUUAAAGUUGUUGCGGUUAAAAAGCUCGUAGUUGGAUCUCAACAGCCGUGAAUCGGUUCCCUUUGUCGUUUUCCUGCUUUGUAGGCUUUGCUUUUGCUGGUGUGUUAGUGGUGCUCUUGAUCGGUUGUCUCUGGAUGCCAGCAGGUUUACUUUGAAAAAAUUAGAGUGCUCAAAGCAGGCUAAAAUGCCUGAAUAUUCGUGCAUGGAAUAAUAGAAUAGGAUGUCGAUCCUAUUUUGUUGGUUUUCGGGACUCGACAUAAUGAUAAAUAGGGACAGUCGGGGGCAUUUGUAUUCAAACGACAGAGGUGAAAUUCUUGGACCGUUUGAAGACAAACUACUGCGAAAGCAUUUGCCAAGAAUGUUUUCA